rnacentral:lncRNA from 1 species
CAAUGGAGGUCGCCCAACCCUUCCAGUCGGAUGGAAGUAGAGUCAGUCGAAUAAUGCCAUCAUACGAGGAGAUCCCAUACAUGCUAGCUGCCAACCAGUGCUCGUGGAAGUGGGCAAGAAAUUCCCCCAAUGUGUCUCUCCAGCACAUGCCAUAGUGAAGGUACUCCCAACGAAUCUCAUCCCGUGUCGCUCUAGCACUAACUCUCUUCCUCGCGGUACGUAGGGUACGAGCCAUCCUGCCCAAUAUAACCUUUACAACUUAGCUUAACAUAAUACCCAUAAAAACUAACUCCUAAUAAAUAUCCCAAAUAAUGAAAUAGUUCACUCAAAUAACACAUACUUGAAUAAUUAAAUACUCAUCUAAAUCACUUACAAAAUCAUAAAAAGUUUAAAAUAAACAAUAAUCCAAAAUUAAUCUCAUAAAUAUAUCCAUCACUUCAUUCAUCAGAAACUCAAACUCUUUAAAUCACAUCAAAAUAAUUUUUAUUUUUUUUAGAAUGAAAAUAAUUUAAACUCAUACCUGAUUAAGCUGGAUGAGAUGGUGUGCUGAGCAUUCAUCAUUAAU